rnacentral:rRNA from 1 species
AGACGAACCGUCCAGACGUUAUUCGGAAUCACUGGGCUUAAAGGGUGCGUAGGCGGCUUGGCAAGUUGGGUGUGAAAGCCCUCGGCUCAACCGAGGAAUUGCGCCCAAAACUGCCUUGAUAGAGUGAGAUAGAGGUGAGCGGAACUUAUGGUGGAGCGGUGAAAUGCGUUGAUAUCAUAAGGAACGCCAGUGGCGAAAGCGGCUCACUGGAUCUCUACUGACGCUGAGGCACGAAAGCUAGGGUAGCGAACAGGAUUAGAUACCCCAGUAGUCC